rnacentral:misc_RNA from 1 species
AAGGGUUACAUAUUAAUUCAUUUUUAAACGUCUGUAUUAAAAAUGAAUUAAUAUGUAACCCUUCGAAUUUAUCAAACAUCACAUCAUCAGAAUUUAACAAGUGUUCACAGGUUAAUGAUACAUGAUCCAUAUUCUAACUUUAAAUAGAACAACUUCCCCUCUUAUAAAAAUAAUUUGAAACUCAUUUCAGAGGAUUUUCAUGCUAAGGUCCAUAAGCAUUCCUCAUCCAACCCACCAAAACGCUAUCACUGAAUCCAGAAUUCAGACCUGAGAUAGUUAUUUCAGUUUACUAAUAAAAGAAUAGUACAAACAAGGAUUCCAAGCUGCAAUCUGAUUUCUGC